AUUAACUAAUCAUGAACCAUUGAAGAGCUAUCCUUAACUACGACUGGAGUCCUAUGGAUUCACUCAUUAAUAACAGCAGCCUUAACUACAUGUUUCAUAGUUAAUGCAUUAAUUAACAUAAGUGAGUGCAUGCUGAAGUAAGUUAAGUGUUACCAGAUUUAUCCAACUGCUGGAACUUGCAUCUAAACUGUUUGCACCCACAUACCAAAAUUUGCUGUGCUGCUUUACUUGUUGGUUUUGAACACAACCCAGAACUUUCACCUCUACACGUCGUAUGAUGUAUUGAUAUCCUACAGGCAGUGGUCACACCUCUUUUGUUUAGUGACAGCAAAUGAGAGUUGUCAAAAAAAAAUAAAAUAAAAAAUUCUUAUAUUCCUCCUUCAAGUUUGGCAUCGUUUUGAAACCAAGUGGCAAGAUGAACCCAGUUGUAGUUUAUUUGAUAAUAUCACUUCAGUGGAGCUCAGGUUUUGCUGAUGUAAAUGAUAUUACACAGUCUCCAUCCAUAAUGUUACCUCUUAAGGAUAAUGCCACUCUAAAUUGCAGUCACACAAAAGGUGUUGAUUAUGACAGAAUGUACUGGUUCAUUCAGCAUCAAGGACAAACUAUGGAGCUCAUAGUGUACACAACAAGUUUUGGCACCAAGGAAUUUGGAAAACUCAACAAAGAAAAAUAUUCAGUCAAUCAUGAAUCUGCAGAGAAGGGUUUUCUUACUGUGAUCAAUCUGGAGUCUCAUGACAGUGCGCUGUAUUUGUGUGCAGUGAGUGAACACAGUGCAGCAGAAUCACUUCACAGAUGUACAAAAACCUUUUUAAUGUCAUGAGAAGUGAUAUUAAAGAUCACACAGACAGGUGACACUCAUGCUCAACAUCACAAUGCAGCCUUAUAGAAAGAUUUAGAUCCUAAAGUAUUUUUGUAUGACAUUAACACACUGUAAAAAAAAAAAAAAAAAAUUCCCAUGAAAUUUACAGUAAAAAAAGGCAGCUGUGGUUGCCAGAACUUUACCGUAAAAAUAUGGUAGCUUAGUUUUAGGUUUUAUAGGACAGCACUUAGUCUAUUUUACAAUUCAACACUGUAUAAUUUAAAGGUUAAUAUUGUAAUAAUUACAGUUCAUAACUGUUUAUUUUAUGGCUUCAGAAGACUUGGAAAACAUUCUGUACACUUAUACAGACUUGGAACGCCAUGCAGGUUAGUAACUGAUAACAGAAUUUUAAACUUUUCUAAGCUAUUCCUUUAGAAAUCCAGCUUUAGGAUAUGUAGCAAAGGUGAAAUUUGACACACAGCAGGAGGUGGUGUUAACCAUACAACCUUUCUUGUACUAACUUAGCCUACGACUGUUACACUCAAAACAAACUCUCUGUUCUCUCUAUAAGGUAAUGAGGGGAAGGUGAUGGUGAAGGUUUGUCCACACACACAUCUCUUUUCUGAACAUUGAAGUCAACAUGAUCAGGACUCUCAUCAGUGUUGCUUUUCUCUUCUGUCUCUCAGGUAUUUCAAACAGUCAAGAUGUGCAUCAGGCUGAAAAUGAUCUGAUCAAAUUUCCUGGACAAUCAGAAGAGCUCCACUGUUCUCAUAGUUCAUCUUCUUACAAUGUCAUGCUCUGGUACAAACAAACACGUGGCAAAGGGUUGGAGCUCCUUGGAUACCUUGUGGGCUCUAGUGAAACAGUUGAGGAUAAAUUCAAAAAUAAAACAAAUCUGGAUGGCAAUGCAAAUAAAAACUGUGUUUUAAAACUAAAGAAUCUUUCAUCGGAUGACAGUGCAGUGUACUUUUGCGCUGCUAGUAUACACAGUGCUGUGGGUUCCCUUCCUUCUCAGCAAAAACCCUGGUGUAUUAACAUGCAAUUACAAUGACAAAAACAUUGCAGAAGCAUCAUAAAACUAUCCUAAAAGUGCUCCAUAUUUUCGGGAGCCAUACAAACAUACAAUAGCUUUGUACGAUGGACAGCCUGAAAUGUAAAUAUAUAUUUUUUUAAUUUUCCCAUUUGGAAGCUUUA